rnacentral:rRNA from 1 species
UACGUAGGGCGCAAGCGUUGUCCGGAAUUAUUGGGCGUAAAGAGCUCGUAGGCGGUUUGUCGCGUCUGCUGUGAAAACCUAAGGCUCAACCUUGGGCUUGCAGUGGGUACGGGCAGACUAGAGUGCGGUAGGGGUGACUGGAAUUCCAGGUGUAGCGGUGAAAUGCGUAGAUAUCUGGAGGAACACCGGUGGCGAAGGCGGCAUCCUGGACCGGUAUUGACGCUGAGGCGCGAAAGCUAGGGGAGCAAACGGG